rnacentral:rRNA from 1 species
GACGAACGCUGGCGGCGUGGAUUAGGCAUGCAAGUCGAACGGUAUCAUCCUUUCGGGGGUGAGAGAGUGGCGAACUGGUGAGUAACACGUAGGUUAUCUACCCUCAAGACGGGGACAACCCAGGGAAACUUGGGCUAAUACCGGAUGUGAGCAACUUUUAGUUGUUUGAAAGGUGGCGUAAGCUGUCGCUUGGGGAUGAGCCUGCGUCCUAUUAGUUAGUUGGUGAGGUAACGGCUCACCUAGGCAAUGAUAGGUAGGCGGCCUUAACGGGUGGUCGCCCACACUGGGAUUGAGAUACGGCCCAGACUCCUACGGGAGGCAGCAGUCGAGAAUAGUCUACAAUGGUCGGAAGACUGAUAGUGCGACGCCGCGUGAACGAUGAAUCCCUUCGGGGUGUAAAGUUCUUUUAUAUGUAAGCAGUGCUUCUUAUAUUAACAGUAUGGGGAGAGAGAUAUUAGCAUAUGAAUAAGCAACGGCUAACUCCGUGCCAGCAGCCGCGGUAAAAUCACG